UUUAUCACUUAACAAUAUGCUACAUUUUUCGGCUGCACUUGCGCGAUUUACACUUCUAUUGGUUCGAGUAAUCCAGCAACAACCACCAGUAAUAUGCAUUAUUCUGUUUAUUUGCAGUUCCUUUUUCAUAGAGUUGCUAAAUAGAUCAGCUUAUAAUUAAUAUGGAGAUCAUAUUAGUAGUUAGUUGCUAAACAUCUCUUUUAGGCAAGGAAAUUGUGGUAGGUAAAGUGCCAGCAAUAGUUAGGGCCUAUAUG
rnacentral:lncRNA from 1 species